ACGAACGCUGGCGGCGUGCUUAACCCCUGCAAGUCGCACGGAAAGGCCCUGCUUUUGUGGGGUGCUCGAGUGGCGAACGGGUGAGUAACACGUGAGUAACCUGCCCUUGACUUUGGGAUAACUUCAGGAAACUGGGGCUAAUACCGGAUAGGAGCUCCUGCUGCAUGGUGGGGGUUGGAAAGUUUCGGCGGUUGGGGAUGGACUCGCGGCUUAUCAGCUUGUUGGUGGGGUAGUGGCUUACCAAGGCUUUGACGGGUAGCCGGCCUGAGAGGGUGACCGGCCACAUUGGGACUGAGAUACGGCCCAGACUCCUACGGGAGGCAGCAGUGGGAAAUAUUGCACAAUGGGCGGAAGCCUGAUGCAGCAACGCCGCGUGCGGGAUGACGGCCUUCGGGUUGUAAACCGCUUUCGCCUGUGACGAAGCGUGAGUGACGGUAAUGGGUAAAGAAGCACCGGCUAACUACGUG
rnacentral:rRNA from 1 species